AUUGAACGCUGGCGGCAGGCCUAACACAUGCAAGUCGAGCGGAUGAAGGAAGCUUGCUUCCCGAUUCAGCGGCGGACGGGUGAGUAAUGCCUAGGAAUCUGCCUAUUAGUGGGGGAUAACUCGGGGAAACUCGGGCUAAUACCGCAUACGUCCUACGGGAGAAAGUGGGGGAUCUUCGGACCUCACGCUAAUAGAUGAGCCUAGGUCGGAUUAGCUAGUUGGUGAGGUAACGGCUCACCAAGGCGACGAUCCGUAGCUGGUCUGAGAGGAUGAUCAGCCAGACUGGAACUGAGACACGGUCCAGACUCCUACGGGAGUCAGCAGUGGGGAAUAUUGGACAAUGGGCGAAAGCCUGAUCCAGCCAUGCCGCGUGUGUGAAGAAGGUCUUCGGAUUGUAAAGCACUUUAAGUUGGGAGGAAGGUCUGUAAGCUAAUAUCUUGCAGUCUUGACGUUACCAACAGAAUAAGCACCGGCUAACUCUGUGCCAGCAGCCGCCGUAA
rnacentral:rRNA from 1 species